rnacentral:rRNA from 1 species
AUAGUGGCGCACGGGUGAGUAAUACGUAACUGACCUACCGAGAAGUCUUCCAUAACAGUCCGAAAGGGUUGCUAAUAGGGGAUGUGCUCGCUCCUUGUGGGGGGUGAGUAAAGGCUUGUCCGCUUCUUGAUGGGGUUGCGGCCCAUCAGCUUGUUGGUGAGGUAAUGGCUUACCAAGGCUUCGACGGGUAACCGGCCUGAGAGGGUGGUCGGUCACAGGGGCACUGAGAUACGGGUCCC